rnacentral:rRNA from 1 species
GACGAACGCUGGCGGCGUGCUUAACACAUGCAAGUCGAGCGGAAAGGCCCUUUCGGGGGUACUCGAGCGGCGAACGGGUGAGUAACACGUGAGUAAUCUGCCCUUCACUCUGGGAUAGCCACCGGAAACGGUGAUUAAUACCGGAUACGACCACUUCAUGCAUGUGAGGUGGUGGAAACUUUUUUGGGUGGGGGAUGUGCUCGCGGCCUAUCAGCUUGUUGGUGGGGUAAUGGCCUACCAAGGCUUCGACGGGUAGCCGGCCUGAGAGGGUGACCGGCCACACUGGGACUGAGACACGGCCCAGACUCCUACGGGAGGCAGCAGUGGGGAAUAUUGGACAAUGGGCGGAAGCCUGAUCCAGCAACGCCGCGUGAGGGAUGACGGCCUUCGGGUUGUAAACCUCUUUCAGCACCGACGAAGCGCAAGUGACGGUAGGUGCAGAAGAAGGACCGGCCAACUACGUGCCAGCAGCCGCCGUAAAAC